rnacentral:rRNA from 1 species
GCUUGCUCCCGGAUGUUAGCGGCGGACGGGUGAGUAACACGUGGGUAACCUGCCUGUAAGACUGGGAUAACUCCGGGAAACCGGAGCUAAUACCGGAUAGUUCCUUGAACCGCAUGGUUCAAGGAUGAAAGACGGUUUCGGCUGUCACUUACAGAUGGACCCGCGGCGCAUUAGCUAGUUGGUGGGGUAAUGGCUCACCAAGGCGACGAUGCGUAGCCGACCUGAGAGGGUGAUCGGCCACACUGGGACUGAGACACGGCCCAGACUCCUACGGGAGGCAGCAGUAGGGAAUCUUCCGCAAUGGACGAAAGUCUGACGGAGCAACGCCGCGUGAGUGAUGAAGGUUUUCGGAUCGUAAAGCUCUGUUGUUAGGGAAGAACAAGUGCGAGAGUAACUGCUCGCACCUUGACGGUACCUAACCAGAAAGCCACGGCUAACUACGUGCCAGCAGCCGCGGUAAUACGUAGGUGGCAAGCGUUGUCCGGAAUUAUUGGGCGUAAAGGGCUCGCAGGCGGUUUCUUAAGUCUGAUGUGAAAGCCCCCGGCUCAACCGGGGAGGGUCAUUGGAAACUGGGAAACUUGAGUGCAGAAGAGGAGAGUGGAAUUCCACGUGUAGCGGUGAAAUGCGUAGAGAUGUGGAGGAACACCAGUGGCGAAGGCGACUCUCUGGUCUGUAACUGACGCUGAGGAGCGAAAGCGUGGGGAGCGAACAGGAUUAGAUACCCUGGUAGUCCACG